GCUGCAGCUGGGCCAGCUGGUCGAGGCUCAGGGCGGUAUCGACGCCCGGCAUGGUGACGACUUUGCGGGUCGGCUCGAUCUUCGCCAGGCGCACCGGCU
rnacentral:tRNA from 1 species